GAGGAACGCUAGCGGCAGGCCUAAUACAUGCAAGUCGAGGGAGAAUGUUGGAUUCGUCUGACAUGAAACCGGCGCACGGGUGCGUAACACGUAUGCAACCUACCUUUAACUGGGGUAUAGCUCAGAGAAAUCUGAAUUAAUCCCCCAUAAGACUACGACAUGGCAUCAUGAUGUAGUUAAAGCUCCGGCGGUUAAGGAUGGGCAUGCGGUACAUUAGCUAGUUUGUGAGGUAAUGGCUCACCAAGGCUACGAUGUAUAGGGGGUAUGAGAGGAUGAUCCCCCACACUGGUACUGAGACACGGACCAGACUCCUACGGGAGGCAGCAGUAGGGAAUAUUGGUCAAUGGACGCAAGUCUGAACCAGCCAUGCCGCGUGAAGGAUGAAGGCCCUAUGGGUCGUAAACUUCUUUUAUUAGGGAAGAAAAAACGGGAUGCGUCCUGUACUGACGGUACUUAAUGAAUAAGGAUCGGCUAACUUCGUGCCAGCCGCCGCCGUAA
rnacentral:rRNA from 1 species